rnacentral:rRNA from 1 species
GACGGAGGUGCCAAGCGUUAGGCGGAAUCACUGGGCUUAAAGCGUGUGUAGGCGGUAACGUUAAGUGCCUUGUGAAAUCCCACGGCCUCAACCGUGGAACUGCUGGGCAUACUGGCGGUUCUUGAGCCAGCCAGGGGUCGGUCGGAACAAACGGUGGAGCGGUGAAAUGACGUAGAGAUUAGGGAAAGAACACCGGGUGGCGAA